rnacentral:rRNA from 1 species
GGAGUUAGCCGGUGCUUCUUCUGUGAGUGAUGUCCUUCCUGCCGGCUAUUAACCCGCAGGCCUUCUUCCUCACUGAAAGUGCUUUACAACCCGAAGGCCUUCUUCACACACGCGGCAUGGCUGGAUCAGGGUUGCCCCCAUUGUCCAAUAUUCCCCACUGCUGCCUCCCGUAGGAGUCUGGGCCGUGUCUCAGUCCCAGUGUGGCUGAUCAUCCUCUCAGACCAGCUACGGAUCGUCGCCUUGGUGAGCCGUUACCUCACCAACCAGCUAAUCCGACAUAGGCUCAUCCGAUAGCGCGAGGCCCGAAGGUCCCCCGGCUUUCCCCCGUAGGGCGUAUGCGGUAUUAGCCUGGGUUUCCCCCAGGUUAUCCCCCACUACCGGGCAGAUUCCUAUGCAUUACUCACCCGUCCGCCGCUCGCCACCAGGGAGCAAGCUCCCCGUGCUGCCGCUCGACUUGCAUGUGUUAGUCGUCGCCGCCACGCGUCUAUACUGAGCGACGAGUACUAACUAACUACGUACGUACGUAGGACGGGCGGUCGGUCGGACGGACGGCGACGUACGUAG